CCUACGGGUGGCAGCAGUAGGGAAUCUUCCACAAUGGGCGCAAGCCUGAUGGAGCAACACCGCGUGAGUGAAGAAGGGUUUCGGCUCGUAAAGCUCUGUUGUUGGAGAAGAACGUGCGUGAGAGUAACUGUUCACGCAGUGACGGUAUCCAACCAGAAAGUCACGGCUAACUACGUGCCAGCAGCCGCGGUAAUACGUAGGUGGCAAGCGUUAUCCGGAUUUAUUGGGCGUAAAGCGAGCGCAGGCGGUUGCUUAGGUCUGAUGUGAAAGCCUUCGGCUUAACCGAAGAAGUGCAUCGGAAACCGGGCGACUUGAGUGCAGAAGAGGACAGUGGAACUCCAUGUGUAGCGGUGGAAUGCGUAGAUAUAUGGAAGAACAUCAGUGGCGAAGGCGACUAUCUGGCACAUAACUGACGCUGAGGAGCGAAAGCGUGGGUAGCAAACAGGAUUAGAUACCCGAGUAGUC
rnacentral:rRNA from 1 species